UGAAGGACGUCGUUUUCUCGGUACUCUCAGCCCGAGUGAUAAGAAAAAACCGGAGAGAAGAACUCGCACAGCGUUCCUUACCCUCACCCGCGCUUUUUGGAGGUGAAGGAUUUUCCGCUGAAAACUAUAAAUAUCGUUUCAGUCAUUACUGAAUCACCAGUUUCAAUCGCUCUCUGCUCCCAUCGCAACCUAGUGCACAUACUGCAAACAAUGGCUAUCUUUGCGAAAAUUGCAAUUUUGGCAUUUGUGGCAGUGGCGGUAAGCGCCCUCCCCGCACCAGAGCCCGCCCCCGCUGCCGAGGCCCAGCCGGAGAAGGGACCAGAGGCGGAACCAGACGCGGAGUUGGUUAAGGUGCAGAACGGGAAGAUCGCCCCCGCAUCGGCGCAGGAGGACGACGAGACCCUUAAAACUGCCAACUCCUACGGCUUCGGAUAUGGCUAUCCCGGCGGCUACGGAUACACACCCUACUACGGCGCAGCUGGCUAUCCCUACCCCGGCGGAUAUGGAUAUGCAGGCUACGGAUACCCGUACUACGGUUACAAUCACUUCUAUGGACAUUACCCUUACGGUGGAUUCCAUGGUGCUUUUUACGGCUAAAUCACUGAUCUCUCUAUCGAUAACCAUCCAAUGUCUGCCAAAGCUUCUCACUGCAUCGUCACUUUUACUGAAAAUACUCCUAAUAUCUGCUUCAUUUAAAUGCAGAUUGAAAUGGAACAUUAGAAAUCUAAACUUUCAAUGUCAACAGUGCCUUGCCUUUGUUGUAUCAAUAUUUUGUAAAUAGCCCAUUUUUCAUGCAGAUUUGCUGAACUGAGCUAAACGCUUAUAAUAUGAUUCAAAAGAUUCUCGUUUUUUAAUGAAGGGUAUAUUGUGCAAUAAUUUAAAGUUUAAGAAUGAAAAUACUCAUCGGAACCUCCCGAGAUCGUAAAGUAUCUCUUAUUGAAACUUUUUACUUGCAAUUUUUAUUUUGUUUUUAGCUUAUCAAAGAUGUCAUUAAUAUUCUCGCCAAAUACACACAAAAUGAAUUUAGUUUAUUUAUCUCAGUCCAGCAAAUAUGUUCAUUAACACCUAAUCAUCAGCUCAUGUAACGUUUAAGUUAUACUUUUUUACUGUACAUUUUUUGUAGGAUUUUGAAAAUAAAAAAAACCUCAACUUGUGGUAAAUUUCUACUCCCUGAUUUUUCUUUCUUCAUUCUUGAAGUUCGUCUUAGUACAUUGAUAAAGCAGGUAUGUUCAAAGCGUCCACUUAAUGUGUUGAUUUAUUUACUGAAUUCGAUAUGCAUCGACAAAAACUUUUAGAGCAUAGCAUAUUAACAAUUUUUAUCAAUAUUUUUCAGCACUCUUAAUCAAACCAAGAAAGUCGUUUAUUUUUUUCUUUUUUAUUCAUUUUAAUUUUUAUUUAGAAAGGGGUAAAUUUAACCACUCUACAGUCAUUAAAAUAAUGAAACAAAGAAUGAGAGUAUGUAAAUUAGCAGAACGAAUAUAUUGAUUAAAUUCCACUCUCAUUCAAACAUCUGUUCAAAUGCCACUAAAAAUCAUUUUAACCAAAACUAAUGGUCAUCGGAGUAAAAAGUCAGUUCAUUUGAUGUUUUUAAAUAAUUGUCUUGGAAAAAAUAACGAUAAUCGGUUUGUCCUUUUCACAUUCAUUUUUCAGGACGGUAUAUUUGCCUCACAGAAUACACACAUGCAUUUUUUUCCGUAACAGCGAUUUGCAUGUCCAAUAAUAAUUUAGAUAGUUCUUACUUUUACUGUCCGCAAUAGUCAUAUAUUAACAUUGACAUUGUUGAACGACGUACUGAAAAAAUAAGGGCACUAACUUGAAAUUAAAAGUAUUUGAAAAAAAAAAUGCCUCGUAGGCACACAUUGAGAGACAAAUAUAAUUAUUUGUGUUGUUACACUCGAUAUUUUGGGGACACUUCAUGACAAUGCACCUCAGUGUAAACUUUUUAAUAACUUGUUUAUACACUUUCCUCAAACUAGUUAUCCAACUAGUUUCAUGGACUGGUGAUUGAAAACUUUUAAAAGAAAGAUUCCACUUGCAAAAGUGUUAAACCCCAGUUUAAUUUGAAAUGACUUGGAUAUUCGAUUAGUGUUUUGGGAUACCACUCGAUAC
rnacentral:lncRNA from 1 species